GAUGAACGCUAGCGGCAGGCUUAAUACAUGCAAGUCGAGGGGUAGCAAGAUUGUAGCAAUACAAUUGUUGACGACCGGCAAACGGGUGCGGAACACGUACACAACCUUCCUACAAGUGGGGAAUAGCCCAGAGAAAUUUGGAUUAAUACCCCGUAACAUAGCGAUGUGGCAUCACAUUGCUAUUAUAGCUUCGGCGCUUGUUGAUGGGUGUGCGGCUGAUUAGAUAGUUGGAGGGGUAACGGCCCACCAAGUCUACGAUCAGUAGCUCAUGUGAGGGCAUGAACAGCCAAACGGGCACUGAGACACGGGCCCGACUCCAACGGGAGGCAGCAGUAAGGAAUAUUGGACAAUGGACGCAAGUCUGAUCCAGCCAUGCCGCGUGAAGGAUUAAGGUCCUCUGGAUUGUAAACUUCUUUUAUGAGGGACGAAAAAAGGUCUUUCUAGAUCGUCUGACGGUACCUUAUGAAUAAGCACCGGCUAACUCCGUGCCAGCCGCCGCGGUAACAC
rnacentral:rRNA from 1 species